AUUGAACGCUAGCGGGAUGCUUUACACAUGCAAGUCGAACGAGUGGCGGACGGGUGAGUAAUAUAUCGGAACGUGCCCAGGAGCGGGGGAUAACUAAUCAAAAGAGGGGCUAAUACCGCAUAAUCUGGAAGCGGCAUAUAUCGGAUUAGAUAGUUGGAGGGGUAAAGGCGCACCAAGGCAACGAUCCGUAGCUGGUUUGAGAGGACGACCAGCCACACUGGGACUGAGACACGGCCCAGACUCCUACGUGAGGCAGCAGUGGGGAAUUUUGGACAAUGGGGGAAACCCUGAUCCAGCCAUCCCGCGUGUAUGAGAAGGCCUUCGGGUUGUAAAGUACUUUUGGCAGAGAAGCGGUAUCUGCAGAAUAAGCACCGGCUAACUCCGUGCCAGCAGCCGCGGUAAUUC
rnacentral:rRNA from 1 species